AUUGAACGCUGGCGGCCGGCCUAACACAUGCAAGUCGCACGAGUGGCGGCCGGGUGAGUAAUGUCUGGGACACUGCCUGAUGGAGGGGGAUAAUUACUGGAAACGGUAGCUAAUACCGCAUACCAUCAGAUGUGCCCAGAUGGGAUUAGCUUGUUGGUGGGGUAACGACUCACCAAGGCGACGAUCCCUAGCUGGUUUGCGAGGAUGACCAGCCACACUGGAACGGAGACACGGUCCAGACUCCUACGGGAGGCAACAGUGGGGAAUAUUGCACAAUGGGCGCAAGCCUGAUGCAGCCAUGCCGCGUGGAUGAAGAAGGCCUUCGGGUUGUAAAGUACUUUCAGCGGGGAGGCGUUACCCGCAGAAGAAGCACAGGCUAACUCCGUGCCAGCAGCCGCGGUAAUUC
rnacentral:rRNA from 1 species